UGGGGGAUAUUGCACAAUGGGCGAAAGCCUGAUGCAGCGACGCCGCGUGGGGGAUGAAGGCUUUCGGGUUGUAAACCUCUUUCGCUAUCGAACAAGGCCCGCUUAGGGUGGGUUGAGGGUAGGUGGAGAAGAAGCGCCGGCUAACUACGUGCCAGCAGCCGCGGUAAUACGUAGGGCGCGAGCGUUGUCCGGAAUUAUUGGGCGUAAAGGGCUUGUAGGCGGCUUGUUGCGCCUGCUGUGAAAACGCGGGGCUUAACUUCGGGCGUGCAGUGGGUACGGGCAGGCUUGAGUGUGGUAGGGGUGACUGGAGUUCCAGGUGUAGCGGUGGAAUGCGCAGAUAUCUGGAGGAACACCGAUGGCGAAGGCAGGUCACUGGGCCAUUACUGACGCUGAGGAGCGAAAGCAUGGGUAGCGAACAG
rnacentral:rRNA from 1 species